rnacentral:rRNA from 1 species
UCCGUAGGUGGAUAACUAAGUCAGAGGUGAAAUCCUGCAGCUCAACUGUAGAAUUGCCUUUGAUACUGGUUAUCUUGAGUCAUUAUGAAGUGGUUAGAAUGUGUAGUGUAGCGGUGAAAUGCAUAGAUAUUACACAGAAUACCGAUUGCGAAGGCAGAUCACUAAUAAUGUACUGACACUGAGGGACGAAAGCGUGGGGAGCGAACAGGAUUAGAUACCCUGGUAGUCC